UGUGGCCCCUCCCGGGCCCGGUAUCGCGAGAGUCUACGUGCUGACGCGAGGCGGGCGGAUGCGCGGCGCGGGCGGGCGCGUUUGAAAGUCGGGGUUUGGCGGAGUGGCGGGAACCGCGGCGCGGCAGGGCCUGAGGAAAGAUGACUUCGCGGGCGCGAGUUCCCGGGAGAGUUCUGGAGUAGAGGCGCGUGCAGACGGUUUCCUCAGUCAUGGAGAAACGCGAGACUUUUGUGCAGGCCGUGUCUAAGGAGCUGAUCGGGGACUUUCUGCAGUUCAUUCAGCUUGAUAGAGACGCUUCUGACCCUUUUAGCCUACAUGAACUGCUAGAUGAGUUGUCACGGAAACAGAAAGAAGAACUCUGGCAGCGGCUCAAGAACCUGCUGACGGACGUGCUGUUGGAAAGCCCUGUGGACGGCUGGCAGGGCACAGAGGCCGAAGAGGAGGAUCCCAUGGACGCAGAGCACGGCUCGAAAGUGAAAAAUAACAUAGAAGUAAUUCAUGCAGUCACAUCUGUGAUCCUUGCUUCUGUGUCUGUGAUAAACGAAAGUGAGAACUACGAAGCCUUGCUGGAAUGUGCCGUCAUACUGAAUGGUAUUUUGUAUGCGUUACCCGGCUCUGCGCGGAUGCUGCGAAGCUCUAUCCAGGAUCUCUGUGUGACGUGGUGGGAGAGGGGCCUGCCUGCCAAAGAGGACAUGGGCAAGACUGCCUUUAUCAUGUUGCUGAAAAGGAGUCUGGAGACCAAAACAGGUGUGGACGUUUGCCGGCUUUGGCGCAUUCAUCAGGCUCUGUACUGCUUCGAUUAUGACUUGGAGGAAAGUGCGGAGAUUAAGGACAUGCUGCUGGAGUGUUUCAUCAACGUCCACUACAUCAAGAAGGAAGAGGGAAGAAGAUUCCUCAGUUCUAUCUUUAACUGGAAUGUGCACUUUAUUAAGCUGAUCCACGGGACCAUCAAGAACCAGUUACAGGGACUUGCAAAGUCAUUGAUGGUCCACAUUGCAGACAUUUAUUUCAGAGCUUGGAAAAAGGCUUCAGGGGAAAUAUUAGAGACCAUCGAGAACACCUGCAUCCAGGACUUGAUGUGCCACGGGAUCCACCUGCCACGGAGGUCGCCGGUGCACGCCAAAGUGCGGGAGGUGCUGAGCUAUUUUCACCAUCAGAAGAAAGUGCGUCAGGGAGUGGAAGAGAUGCUGUACCGGCUCUACAAGCCCAUCCUGUGGCGAGGAUUGAAGGCCAGAAACUCUGAGGUCCGCUCUAAUGCCGCCCUGCUGUUCAUCGAAGCCUUUCCCGUCAGGGACCCCAGCUUCAACACCAUAGAGAUGGACAGUGAGAUUCAGAAACAGUUUGAAGAGCUCUAUAGCCUCCUGGAAGACCCGAACCCGCUGGUCCGCUCCACGGGGGUCCUUGGCGUCUGCAGGAUCACCUCCAAGUACUGGGAGAUGAUGCCUCCCACCAUCCUCAUCGACCUGCUCAAGAAGGUGACCGGGGAGCUGGCCCUGGACACGAGCUCCGCGGACGUGCGCUGCUCCGUCUUCAAGUGCCUGCCGAUCAUUUUGGAUAACAGAUUAAGCCACCCACUGUUGGAACAGCUGCUGCCAGCUCUCAAGUACAGUCUCCAUGACAAUUCGGAGAAAGUCAGGGUGGCUUUUGUGGACAUGCUACUGAAGAUCAAGGCUGUGAGAGCGGCCAAGUUUUGGAAAAUCUGCCCGAUGGAGCAUAUUCUGGUCCGUUUGGAGUCGGAUUCCCGGCCAGUGUGCCGGCGCCUGGUGAGCCUCAUCUUUAACUCCUUCCUGCCGGUGAACCAGCCUGAGGAGGUGUGGUGCGAGCGCUGCGUCACGCUGGUGCAGAUGAACCAUGCGGCCGCCAGGAGGUUCUACCAGCACGCCCAUGAGCACACCUCUUGCACGAACAUAGCAAAGCUGAUCCACGUGAUCCGUCGCUGCCUCAAUGCCUGCAUCAGGAGGGCCCUGAGAGAGGACCAGCAGGACACAGAGGAGAGGGAGAAGGAGAACGUGAGCGUUCUGGACCAGACGCUGUCUGUCAGUGAUGUUGCAUCCAUGGCAGGCCUGCUGGAAGUUAUCGUCAUUCUCUGGAAGAGCAUCCACAGAAGCAUGGAGAACAACAAAGAGGCCAAAGUCUACACCAUUAACAAGUUUGCGUCUGUGCUUCCUGAGUAUCUGAAAGUUUUUGAGGAUGACCGGUGCAAGACACCUCUGGGCAUCCUCCUGUCCUUCUUGCCCGCCUCUGCUGUGCCUGGCUUCAGCUGCAGUGUCAUUUCCACACUGAGAAACCAAGAGGAGGGGGCAGUGGACAGAAGCUACUGCACGCUGCUGGACUGCCUGUGUGCGUGGGGCCACGUGGGCCACGUGCUGGACCUCCUGUGUGACUUGCUGCCCAAGCAGCUGUCCCCAGCAGCCAGGUGCCCCACGGCCUCCAGACGCAGACCCAAGAGCCAGGACUCCCACCCAGCCAAGCCAGAGUUAGCGCUGCUGUACGUGGAGUAUCUGCUCACGCACCCCGGGAACCGAGAGUGCCUGCUGGCCGCCCCCCAGAAGAAGCUGCAGCAGCUCCUCUCGGCGCUGGAGACAUCCAAGGUGGAUCUGGAAGCGAUUUUGCGGUCUCCUCCCGAAGGGAACCCUCAUGGCUUGAGGGAAGCCUCUGCCCUGCGGGCUUUCAGCCUCCACUGCCGGCUGAGCAUUCACCUUCAGCACAGGUUCUGCUCAGAAGGCAAGGUUUACUUGUCCAUUUUGGAAGACACUGGGUUUUGGUUAGAAAACACAGUUCUGUCUCUUCUCCAAGAUCAAGAAGAAGAACAUCAGAAGCUUCACAGGGUUGCUUAUCAGCAAGUCAUCCAGACCUUCCUCACCGUGUGCAAAGAUGUCCUGAUGGUCGGCUUGGGCGACUGCAAGUUUCAGCUGCGGCUUUUGCAGUGGAGCCUCAGAGUCAUGGAAGCAGUGAAGGGGUUCUUCUAUGUCAGCUUGCUGCUGGGUAUUCUGAAAGAGGUGACCGGAAACUCCUUGACUCAGAGGACAGACUCAGACGAAGAAGUGGUGGUGCUGUUUGGUACAGUCCAGAAAGUCUUCCAGAAAAUGUUGGAGUGCCUGGCUCGGAGCUUUCGGAAGCAGCCAGAAGAAGGCCUGCGGCUCCUCUACUCUGUGCAGACGCCCCUGCACGAGUUUAUAAGGACUGUCCAGUCUUGGCACACGGACACGCCCGUGCACCGGGGUGUGCUGUCCACCUUGAUCGCGGCCUCUGUGGUGGAGAUCAGUCACCGCCUGCGGAAGGUGUCGGACGUGGAGCAGCUGGCGGGCCUGGACUAUCUGGCAGACCUGCCUCCGUUCUCCAGGUGUUUGGUGGGGAUUGUCCUCAAGACUCCGAAUGUGGUCAGGUCAUUUUUAGAUGAGUUGAAGACGUGUGUCACUUCUGACGACAUUGAAGGGAUCGUCUGCCUCACGGCCGUUGUGCACAUUAUCCUGGUGAUCAAUAAAGGGAAACAUAAGAGUUCAAAGGUGAAGGACGUCGCAGCCACCGUCCUCAGGAAGCUGAAGACCUUCAUGGAGAUCACCCUGGAGGAGGACAGCGUGGAAAGAUGGCCCCCAGGAGCAGUGGAUUCGUAGUGCAGGCACCAAGCCCCGGCAAUAACCCUGGAGGGAGAAAAGAGAAAGGGAUAUCUCUAUGAAUCUUCAUCGAGAACGCUGGGAGAGCUCUUGAACUGUUGACCAGGCUGACAUCUUCGUUCACGUGGAAGGAGAGGACUUGCAGAAAAGAAAUGAAUUUGUAGUUUCAUAUUUUAAUGUUCACAGCUCCUGGGAGGGGUGGGGACUGUUUGGGGGCCGAGUAGUCAGUGCAGAUGUUUUUAACUUGUGCCCGGUGCUCUGGCACGGUGUCUCUGAUGGAAAGGACACGGGGUCCAGCCCAGGGAGAAGCCGGGGAGCAAGGGGACGCUGUGCCCGUGGCCCGUGGUGUCAAGCGUGGCUUUUAUAUGGGUGACGUGACGUUGCUUCCAAGAGGAAUAAAGCAGUGAGUGGUGCCUGUGCAGAA